UGCAGAGUGGUGUAGUGGUUUCAGGAUUGGACUAUGACUCUGGAGGCCAGGGUUCAAUUCUUUGCUCAGUUA